AUUGAACGCUGGCGGCAGGCCUAACACAUGCAAGUCGAACGAGUGGCGGACGGGUGAGUAAUGUCUGGGAAACUGCCUGAUGGAGGGGGAUAACUACUGGAAACGGUAGCUAAUACCGCAUACCAUCAGAUGUGCCCAGAUGGGAUUAGCUUGUUGGUGGGGUAACGGCUCACAAAGGCGACGAGCCCUAGCUGGUCUGAGAGGAUGACCAGCAAAACUGGAACUGGGAAACGGUCCAGGCGCCUACGGGAGGCAGCAGUGGGGAAUAUUGAAGAAUGGGCGGAAGCCGGAUGCAGGCAUGCCGGGUGUAUGAAGAAGGCCUUCGGGUUGUAAAGUACUUGCAGCGGGGAGGCGUUACCCGCAGAAGAAGGACCGGCUAACUCCGUGCCAGCAGCCGCGGUAAUUC
rnacentral:rRNA from 1 species